rnacentral:rRNA from 1 species
UACGGGGGGGGCAAGCGUUGUUCGGAAUUACUGGGCGUAAAGGGCUCGUAGGCGGCCAACUAAGUCGGACGUGAAAUCCCCAGCUCAACCUGGGAACUGCGUCUGAUACUGGAUGGCUUGAAUCCGGGAGAGGGAUGCAGAAUUCCAGGUGUAGCGGUGAAAUGCGUAGAUAUCUGGAGGAAUACCGGUGGCGAAGGCGGCAUCCUGGACCGGCAUUGACGCUGAGGAGCGAAAGCCAGGGGAGCAACGGG